UACGGAGGAUGCGAGCGUUAUCCGGAUUUAUUGGGUUUAAAGGGUGCGCAGGCGGAUUUUUAAGUCAGCGGUCAAAUCGUGGGGCUCAACCCCAUCCAGCCGUUGAAACUGUCGGACUAGAGACGGCGAGAAGUACGCGGAAUGCGCGGUGUAGCGGUGAAAUGCAUAGAUAUCGCGCAGAACUCCGAUUGCGAAGGCAGCGUACCGGCGCCGGACUGACGCUGAGGCACGAAAGCGUGGGUAUCGAACAGG
rnacentral:rRNA from 1 species